rnacentral:lncRNA from 1 species
AUGGGGACGGCGAUGGGAACGGGGACGGGGACUGGGACGGGGACUGGGACGGGGCCGGGGACGGGGCCGGGGACGGGGCCGGGGACGCGCGCGAGCUAUUACCAGAGUUUUGGUCCCGUUCUUGCUGAGGGGGCCCCGGAAAACUCCCUUGAUGUUGCGAAAGUGUCCGUUGCGGAGCCGCGUGGAGCUGAUGACAAUGUAGUAACACUCCAUGGGGCCCCGCCGCCUCCCGCCCGGCGCUGGGGCCCCGCCGCCGCCGCCGCCGCCCCGCACGCCGGGGGCCACGCUCACUCCGCCCCGCGGCCGCGCGCGCCGCCCCCCGCCGCCCCCGCGCCCGCGCCCGCGCCCGCGCCCGCCCCCGCGCCCGCCCCCGCAUGCCCCCCGCCCCCGCCCCCCGCCGGCCGCAGGGCCCCGAGCGCGUCAGUGGCGGCGGCAGUGGCGGCGGCGGCGGCCCGGGAGUCGCGGCGGCCGGCGGGCAUGAGGGCUGUUAUAGUGCGCGGCGUCGCCGGUCCGCCGCACCGAGCCAAUGGCAGGGAGCCACUGGGCUGGCACGGGGAGCUGUCACGGCCGCGCAGCUGGCGCCCGCCCCCGCCCCCGCCAGGGGGAGCGCCCCGGGAGCCGCCGAGCCGCGGCCGCCGCCGCCCGCCCGCCCCCCGGGAGCCCGGGACUCCGGCGAGGUGGGGCGGGGACGGGGAGGGCGGGGGCCUGCAGGGGGCGGGGGACGGGGGCGCGGGACUCCGGCGAGGUGGGGGCGGGGGCGGGGGCGGGGGGUGCAGGGGGUCGCAAGUUGGGGGGCCGGAGGGGCGGGGACGCCUGCGAGGUGGGGGCGAGAGGCGGAGGGGCGGGGAGGGCAGGGGCAGGGGACGGGGAGGGGCGGGGGACUCCUGCGAGGUGGAGCAGGGGCGGGGGCCGAGGGGCAGGGGGCGGAGGGGAGCGGCUGGGUCCCCGCAGCUGCCCGCUGGUCCCCGCAGGUGCGCGCAGGUGCACGCAGGUCCCCGCAGGUGCCCGCAGCGCUGCCCCCCGCCCCCUCCCCUCCCCUCCCCUCCCCUCCCCUCCCCGCCCCCCGCGCACUGGGCUUCUUGCAUCGCGUUAGUUUGCCGCGUGUUUGGGGUCCGCGGGCUGGACCCGGUUCAGCGUCUCAGAGAAGGGGAGCGCCCCGCACCCGCACCCCGCGCCGCCCCCGGCCGCAGAGAUCACAAGCGUUUGCGCUGA